UUGUUUUCGUUUCCGUUUCCGCUCCUUGUAAAAUUCCGUUCGUUUUCGGUUUUCGUUUUCGUUCCUUGAACCGGUUCGGAGCACUGAUCCACAGCAAAGAAAAUGGGCAAAAUAGCAAGAGGGGGCCAAACAGCAUGAAAACAAAGAUGACAUGAGUGUGUGAUGAACUCUGUUGGAGUGGACAGUAACCCAGCUUGACCAAUAGGCUACAGACUUGGACACAACAAACAUUCUGAAUAUCUAAGCUUCAAACUGUACUUAAUGCUCAUGUGAUCCAGUAACAGCUGAUUACUACAGACACCUGAGUGUGUCGUCUCCUCAGCCGGACUCCUCUACCCAGAAGUUUCCUGGUCUUCCUCUCCUACUUCACCCCGACACCUGCUCCUGCAUCUUCCUGGUCUCCUCCUGUGUGUGUCAACCCCUCUGGAUCCUGUUUACUUAUGUUUUCAGAUCUUUUGUGUGUUGGACUCUUCAGUUACUCGUUAAAACCUUGGAUGUGUGUUUGUGCUCGAGCUGUAAAACCUGCAAGGGCUACGUACUUCUCAGUUUGCUCGUUUGAAAUCAGUGCCGGUUCAGACCUCCAUGUGGCCCUAAGCAAAAUCCUGCUAAGGGGCCCUCCUACCUGAACUCUGAGCGCGAAAAUGUAACCAUUUUUUACAGUAUCGUCUGACACCUCAGUGCUUCCAAUACAAUCAUCCCACCCCAUUUUGGAUGUCUAUGGAAGUUACCAAAUAUAGUGUUUUUCCCUAUAAAGGACUAGGAGAAAGAAACAUAAUUGUGUGUGAAUCACCUUCACACAGCAAUAAAUGCCCAGUUUCAGUGUCUGGGCUGUUUGCUUUUGAUGCUUGCUGUACAUAUCCCCUUGCAAAAAAUAACUGCAGUUUUUUUAAGUACAGUUCAGUUAUACCACAGUGGGCUACAGUGCAGUAUAGUAUUUUCAUGUCAAAUACUG